AGUGAACGCUGGCGGUAGGCCUAACACAUGCAAGUCGAACGGCAGCACAGUAAGAGCUUGCUCUUACGGGUGGCGAGUGGCGGACGGGUGAGGAAUACAUCGGAAUCUACUUUUUCGUGGGGGAUAACGUAGGGAAACUUACGCUAAUACCGCAUACGACCUACGGGUGAAAGCAGGGGAUCUUCGGACCUUGCGCGAUUGAAUGAGCCGAUGUCGGAUUAGCUAGUUGGCGGGGUAAAGGCCCACCAAGGCGACGAUCCGUAGCUGGUCUGAGAGGAUGAUCAGCCACACUGGAAGUGAGACACGGUCAAGACGCCUACGGGAGGCAGCAGUGGGGAAUAUUGGACAAUGGGCGCAAGCCUGAUCCAGCCAUACCGCGUGGGUGAAGAAGGCCUUCGGGUUGUAAAGCCCUUUUGUUGGGAAAGAAAAGCAGCAGGUUAAUACCCCGCUGUUCUGACGGUACCCAAAGAAUAAGCACCGGCUAACUUCGUG
rnacentral:rRNA from 1 species